rnacentral:rRNA from 1 species
AAACUCAAAAGAAUUGACGGGGACCCGCACAAGCAGCGGAGCGUGUGGUUUAAUUCGUUGCUACACGAAGAACCUUACCUGGGUUUGACAUAUAGGUUGUAGGGAAACUGAAAAGGGACCGACCCUUCGGGGAGCCUAUACAGGUGUUGCAUGGCUGUCGUCAGCUCGUGUCGUGAGAUGUUCGGUUAAGUCCGCUAACGAGCGCAACCCUCGUCGUAUGUUAUAUGUGUCAUACGAGACUGCCGGUAAAAAGCCGGAGGAAGGUGAGGAUGAUGUCAAGUCAGCAUGACCUUUAUGACCAGGGCUACACACGUACUACAAUGGCCGGUACAAAGGGCAGCGACACAGCGAUGUGAAGCCAAUCCCGAAAAGCCGGUCUCAGUCCGGAUUGGAGUCUGCAACUCGACUCCAUGAAGUUGGAAUCGCUAGUAAUCGCGGAUCAGCACGCCGCGGUGAAUACGUUCCCGGGCCUU